rnacentral:rRNA from 1 species
AGUGAACGCUGGCGGUAGGCCUAACACAUGCAAGUCGAACGGCAGCACAGUAAGAGCUUGCUCUUACGGGUGGCGAGUGGCGGACGGGUGAGGAAUACAUCGGAAUCUACUUUUUCGUGGGGGAUAACGUAGGGAAACUUACGCUAAUACCGCAUACGACCUACGGGGGAAAGCAGGGGAUCUUCGGAGCUUUCGCGAUUGAAUGAGCCGAUGUCGGAUUAGCUAGUUGGCGGGGUAAAGGCCCACCAAGGCGACGAUCCGUAGCUGGUCUGAGAGGAUGAUCAGCCACACUGGAACUGAGACACGGUCCAGACUCCUACGGGAGGCAGCAGUGGGGAAUAUUGGACAAUGGGCGCAAGCCUGAUCCAGCCAUACCGCGUGGGUGAAGAAGGCCUUCGGGUUGUAAAGCCCUUUUGUUGGGAAAGAAAAGCAGCAGGUUAAUACCCCGCUGUUCUGACGGUACCCAAAGAAUAAGCACCGGCUAACUUCGUG